UUCUAACGGCAAUAGCGAUAGCGAGGGCGGCUCCUCACAGUCUCUAAUUUUCCUUCCACAUCCUGAAGAAAGCAAAACCUGCUUUGGCCACUCUGUCACUAGCUAACAGCAGGUUUUCCCCAUGGGCUGAGCCAGGGCCUUGAACAUUCCAGGCUACUGACCGAGGUGUUUGGGCCAUGGCCCAAAACACUGAAAGUCACUGGUGCCAACACCAAGUCCAAGUUCCUUAGACCUUCAUGUGAACUCCAACUGCGACUUCUUACUCCCAGAUGUCCUGGGAAUGAAAUAGGGACCAGUUGUGUUCUAGGCUGUGGCUGUGCAUUCUCUCCAUCUUCAAAGCAUCCAAGUGACAAGUGACAUCGCUGCUUUCCUUGUCUACAUUGUAUGGAUGGUGAAAACCAAGACACCAGAAGCAGUCAAGAGAUUACACCAGUGUUGGCCUCUCCAGAAGUCUGCUUGGAUGUACUCAGUGUAUGGCAGCUGUGUUUCUUGAGAGCUAAAGAUACUUGUGACCUGCUGUGGCAAACAGAAUUCCAAGACAGCCCCCAAUACUCAAGGAGGAGAU